UACGUAGGGUGCAAGCGUUAAUCGGAAUUCCUGGGCGUAAAGCGUGCGCAGGCGGUUUUGUAAGUCUGGCGUGAAAGCCCCGGGCUCAACCUGGGAAUUGCGAUGGAGACUGCAAGGCUUGAAUCUGGCAGAGGGGGGUAGAAUUCCACGUGUAGCAGUGAAAUGCGUAGAGAUGUGGAGGAACACCGAUGGCGAAGGCAGCCCCCUGGGUCAAGAUUGACGCUCAUGCACGAAAGCGUGGGGAGCAAACAGG
rnacentral:rRNA from 1 species